UAAGCAUAUCAAUAAGCGGAGGAAAAGAAACCAACAGGGAUUGCCUUAGUAACGGCGAGUGAAGCGGCAAAAGCUCAAAUUUGAAAUCUGGCACCUUCGGUGUCCGAGUUGUAAUUUGAAGAAGGUAACUUUGGAGUCAGCUCUUGUCUAUGUUCCUUGGAACAGGACGUCACAGAGGGUGAGAAUCCCGUGCGAUGAGAUGUCUGAUUCUAUGUAAAGCGCUUUCGAAGAGUCAGGUUGUUUGGGAAUGCAGCUCUAAGUGGGUGGUAAAUUCCAUCUAAAGCUAAAUAUUGGCGAGAGACCGAUAGCGAACAAGUACAGUGAUGGAAAGAUGAAAAGAACUUUGAAAAGAGAGUGAAAAAGUACGUGAAAUUGUUGAAAGGGAAGGGUUUGAGAUCAGACUUGGUAUUUUGUAUGUCUUGCUUUCGGGUGGGGCCUCUACAGUUUACUGGGCCAGCAUCGGUUUGGACGGUAGGAUAAUGACAUUGGAAUGUGGCACCACUUCG
rnacentral:rRNA from 1 species